rnacentral:rRNA from 1 species
CCUACGGGCGGCAGCAGUGAGGAAUAUUGGUCAAUGGACGAGAGUCUGAACCAGCCAAGUAGCGUGAAGGAUGACUGCCCUAUGGGUUGUAAACUUCUUUUAUAAAGGAAUAAAACGAGGCACGUGUGCCUUUUUGCAUGUACUUUAUGAAUAAGGAGCGGCUAACUCCGUGCCAGCAGCCGCGGUAAUACGGAGGAUCCGAGCGUUAUCCGGAUUUAUUGGGUUUAAAGGGAGCGUAGAUGGGUUGUUAAGUCAGUUGUGAAAGUUUGCGGCUCAACCGUAAAAUUGCAAUUGCUACUGGAAGUCUUGAGUACAGUUGAGGUAGGCGGAAUUCGUGGUGUAGCGGUGAAAUGCUUAGAUAUCACGAAGAACCCCGAUUGCGAAGGCAGCUUACUAAACUGUGACUGACAUUGAUGCUCGAAAGUGUGGGUAUCAAACAGGAUUAGAUACCCCGGUAGUC